rnacentral:rRNA from 1 species
CCCUACUAACUGCGAGUGAAAAGGGAUGAGCCCAGCGCCGAAGCCGCCGUCCAUCAAAGUGGGCGGAGGGCAAUGUGGCGUUAAGGAAGAGCCUCCUUGACCUGACGUUUCGUUGUUCGAAUUGCGGGAGCCUGAGUCCCCCUGACCGGGGCCACUGCCCAUGGCGGGUGCAAGGCCUCUUUGGCUCCGUUCGACGAUUCGAAGGUUGCUGGCUUCUUUCCUCAGAGUCGGGUUGCUUGAGAGUGCAGCCCUAAGCGGGUGGUAAACUCCACCUAAGGCUAAAUAUCACCACGAGACCGAUAGCGAACAAGUACCGUGAGGGAAAGUUGCAAAGAACUUUGAAGAGAGAGUUCAAGAGUACGUGAAACCGCUCGGAGGCAAACGGGUGGGCCCUCGAAGGUCGAACGGGGGGAUUCAGCCUGUCGGCGAGUGCUUCCUGUCUGUUGAAAAGCAUUCGUGCGAAACGGAUCCGAAAUCAAAGCGGACCGGGCGGCAGGUUUUAAACUAUAAAAAGCGCUCGUCGGCUCGUGCACUUCCCCCUUAGUAGGACGCCGCGACCGGUCGGGGUGUAUAUGCGUACGAACGAACGCAGCGGCCAUGAGGCGAGAACGUUAUUGCGGGGGCAGGUGUCCGUUUCCGCGGGAUUCUGGUUUUGGUCGGUGUUCACGCGCCGGCCUUGCUGGUUUCUCAGGUUCGGAGUUACAGCCCCUUCUCGACCCGUGCACCGCCACCCGACCGACAAAUGGUCACGAAAUCCGUAGACGCGUGCCCGCGACGCGCGCGCCUCUCUCUCUCGGGGGAGGGGAUGCGAUUGCGUGCGCUCGCCCUAAUCCAGGGCAGGCAGGAUGCGCGAGUAAAAAUCCCACUUAAACUCGUUUCAAACGCGGGUAGGGGAUCCGACGGACGCCGAAAGCAAAAAACCGAAAAGGCGGUCGUCGGCUCCGCGUCUGCCGUUCCGCCCACGUGGAGUUGGAAUCUGGCGUAGAGGCAAAAAUGAAAAAAAAACGCUCACGGUCGNNNNNNNNNNNNNNNNNNNNNNNNNNNNNNNNNNNNNNNNNNNNNNNNNNNNNNNNNNNNNNNNNNNNNNNNNNNNNNNNNNNNNNNNNNNNNNNNNNNNNNNNNNNNNCAUGUGUGCAAGUCGUAGGGUCUGCUUAUGAAACGAGCUAAACCCGAUGGCGAAAUGAAAGUAAAGGCCGGCCCUCUGUUUAGCGCGUGUGCGUUCUUCUUUCGGGGAGGGUGCGCGCGAAUGCGGCGGGGGGAAUGUGAACGGCCGAGGCGAGAUCCUAAAUGAGCAGCGUCGGCCUUCGCGGGUCGGCGCGGCGAAAUUUGAAAAAGAAACCGGACAUGGCAGGCACGCGUUCGCGCUCGCCGCGACGCGGUCCGGAGGCGCAUCGCCGGCCCGUCUCGAUCGCAUCCGAUCUGUUGCACCUUCGUUGUCGUCCCGUCUUCGUCGAUUCGUUUUCUUUUUUCCUCCUCGCGGGGGGAAUUUGAUAAGCUUUCGCGCGUUUGACGGUGCUGCGGCGCGUCGGGCUCUGAGAGGAAUCUUUAGUCGACGAGGCGGAGCAAGAGCACACACGUUGGGACCCGAAAGAUGGUGAACUAUGCCCGGGCAGGACGAAGCCAGAGGAAACUCUGGUGGAGGUCCGCAGCGAUUCUGACGUGCAAAUCGAUCGUCGGACCUGGGUAUAGGGGCGAAAGACUAAUCGAACCGUCUAGUAGCUGGUUCCCUCCGAAGUUUCCCUCAGGAUAGCUGGCACUCGGGAAAAAAAAAUAAUAAACAGAUGAAACAGUCUCAUCCGGUAAAGCGAAUGAUUAGAGGCAUUGGGGCCGAAACGGCCUCAACCUAUUCUCAAACUUUCAAUGGGUGAGAUGUCCGGCUUGCUUAACGUGAUACAGACGGGGUGGGGGAGAGAGGCUGGCGGCGCGUGCGGGGAGGGGGUUCGCCCUUUUUCUGCGCCGUCGUUGGUUUUUUCUCUUCUCAUGAACCUUGAAGCACGGACGUAGGAUGCGAGUGCCCAGUGGGCCACUUUUGGUAAGCAGAACUGGCGCUGUGGGAUGAACCAAAAGCCGGGUUACGGCGCCCGAUGCGGACGCUUAUCAGACCCCAUGAAAGGUGUUGGUUGCUAUUGACAGCAGGACGGUGGCCAUGGAAGUCGGAAUCCGCUAAGGAGUGUGUAACAACUCACCUGCCGAAGCAACUAGCCCUGAAAAUGGAUGGCGCUCCAGCGUCGAGCCUAACCCCGGCCGUCGGAAGGCAUUGAAAUAAAAAGCGAGACUCUUAAAAAAACGAUGCCCCGGCGAGUAGGAGGGUCGCGGUGGUGAGCGUUGAAGGGAUCGGGCGCGAGCCUGCCUGGAGCCGCCACCGGUGCAGAUCUUGGUGGUAGUAGCAAAUACUCGAGUGAGAACCUUGAGGACUGAAGUGGAGAAGGGUUCCAUGUGAACAGCAGUUGAACAUGGGUCAGUCGGUCCUAAGGAAUAGGGGAAACCCGUUCUGAAAAAGAACCGGAAUAAAAUGAAUGAAAAAGUGAAAAUUUAACCGGUGACGACCGAAAGGGAAUCGGGUUAAUAUUCCCGAACCCGGAUGCGGAGAUCGACCCUUAAACGGGGUCUAAAGCGGUAACGCGCAACGAACUCGGAGAAUGCCGGCGGGGGCCCCGGGAAGAGUUUUCUUUUCUUUGUAAAGGACGGACUCCCUGGAAUCGGCUCGCCCGGAGAGAGGGAUGUUGUUCCUGUAAAGCACCGCGGCUCUUGCGGUGUCCGGAGCGCUCUCGUCGGCCCUUGAAAAUCCGAGGGAGUGAACGAAUGAUUUCCGCACCGGACCGUACCCAUAUCCGCAGCAG